rnacentral:lncRNA from 1 species
UUUUUUUCCUUUUCUUCUUUUUCUUUCCUUUUUCUUCUUUUUCUUUCCUUUUCUUCCUUUUUCUUUUAUCUUCUUCUUUUUCUUUCCUUUUUCUUUCCUUUUUUCUUUUUCUUUCCUUUUUCCUUUUCUUCUUUUUCUUUCCUUAUUUUCUUUUUCCUUUCCUUUUUUCUUCUUUUUCUUUCCUGCUUCUUUUUCUUUCCUUCUCUACAUACAGUUAAGUAUUUUUUGUAUAUAAUUAAGUCUUCUCUGCACAUACUUAAAUCUUUUAUGCACACAGUUAAGUAUUUUAUGCAUCACAC